UUAUACAUCCUGUGUUUUACACAUUCUGCAUUAUACUCUUUAAAGAUUGUUCAAAUUUCAAUGUUUUAACCGUCCCCCCCCCCUCCUCACCCCUUACAGACUCUCCACAAUCCAAAAAUAGCAUUUUCCGUUUCAUAACUACAGCACAAUUGCAGAAGGACUUUUGAAAACAGUUGGUGGUUAUCGCUCUCCAGCAAUGAAAUGCUUCAUUUUGGUUUAACACCUUAGAGAAUUCACGUGGAAACUUUGAGCUGAUUGAAUUUUAUAAUAUUAUCUAUAGAAAGAAGGGAGGAAGAAUAAAGAAACCUUGAUGAGGAUGACGAGGAUAAGCUAUAUAUGGAAAGAUACGACCACCAGCAGCUCACUUACAAUGAUAGACUUGACAUUUUUCCUGUUAGUCAGUACUACGUUAUCACAAGCGAGUGUUCAUUCUAAAGUCUGCGACUUUGAAAAUGGCCUGGGUACGAAUUUAUGUCCAUGGUACAAUGUUGUGGGAAUUGAUGAUUACAACUGGACUGUCCACAAUUCUCAAA